ACCCAGCUCUCUUGAGGGUUGUGGAGUGUAGCUAGUAUUGAACAUGGAGAUCAAUUAUGCUCUGGCAUUGCUCUUAGUCCUCAUUCUCAACUUGGGUAGUUUGCUCACUUCUCUUGCUAACUCCUAUUGCCCACCACCAACAUACCCUCCAGUUCCUCACUUGCCACCCAAACACCCUCCCCAUGUAACUCCACCCUUCCACCCUAAACCACCAAAGAAGCCACCACCAUAUGUCAAACCACCUCAUGCAAAGCCUCCUCCUCAUGUACCAAUCAAACCCCCUCAUGUUAAACCACCCAUUGUAAAACCACCUCCUUAUCCGAAACCUCCAGUUGCCAAACCACCUCCCCAUCCCAAACCUCCUGUUGUCAAACCACCUCCCCAUCCCAAACCUCCUGUUGUCAAACCACCUCCCCAUCCCAAACCUCCUGUUGUCAAACCACCUCCCUAUCCCAAACCUCCUGUUGUCAAACCACCUCACCUAUCCCAAACCUCCUGUUGUCAAACCACCCUCCCUAUCCCAAACCUCCUGUUGUCAAACCACCUCCCUAUCCCAAACCUCCUGUUGUCAAACCACCUCACCAUCCCAAGCCUCCUGUUGUCAAACCACCUCCCCAUCCCAAACCUCCUGUUGUCAAGCCUCCAGUUGUCAAACCACCUCCCCAUCCCAAACCACCAGUUGUACUGCCUCCACCAUAUACCCCGAAGCCCCGGUUGUACUGCCUUCCACCAUAUACCCCGAAGCCCCCGGUUGUGCUGCCUCCACCAUAUACCCCGAAGCCCCCGGUUGUGGCCUCCACCAUAUCCCCCGAACCCCCCCGGUGUAUGUGCUGCCUCCACCAUAUACCCCGAAGCCCCCGGUUGUACUGCCUCCACCAUAUACCCCGAAGCCCCCGGUUGUACUGCCUCCACCAUAUACCCCGAAGCCCCCGGUUGUACUGCCUCCACCAUAUACCCCGAAGCCCCCGGUUGUACUGCCUCCACCAUAUACCCCGAAGCCCCCAGUUGUACUGCCUCCACCAUAUACCCCCAAGCCCCCAGUUGUACUGCCUCCACCAUAUACCCCCAAGCCCCCAGUUGUACUGCCUCCACCUUCACCACCUGUUGUAGUGCCAAGCCCACCAUCAACACCAACCCCAACCCCAGUUGUCCCAGUGAAGCCUCCUCCACCCACUGAAACACCAUGCCCUCCUCCACCACCAAAGGUAGUACCACCCCCAACAUCACCACCUCCAAAGUCGCCACCGAAGGACACGUGCCCCAUCGACACCUUAAAGUUGGGAGCUUGUGUAGAUGUGCUGGGUGGACUUAUCCACAUUGGAAUUGGGAGCAGUGCCAAAGAUGCAUGUUGUCCGGUGCUUCAGGGACUGGUGGACUUGGACGCUGCUAUUUGCCUUUGCACCACGAUCAAGGCUAAGCUUCUCAAUAUCAACCUCAUCAUCCCCAUUGCUCUUCAGGUGCUCAUUGAUUGUGGGAAGACACCUCCCUCUGGAUUCCAGUGUCCUGCAUAGGUGAUCAUCAUGUCAUAUUCCUAAAUCACAGUUAGUGGUUGUUAAUCAUGUCGUCAUUUAGCAAUAUGUGGCGCCACCUAGCCAAUAAUAGCAUGUCAAAGCGUGGAAGUAAAAACUGCUUCUUAAGGAUAAAUAUCUGUAAUUUGGUUUUGUUUUGCUUAUUUGAAGAGUGCAUCAGGUCGAUCGAAACACUGUGGUAAUUAAUUAAGUCAUGUUAAUUUGGUGAGCUGUGGAUGUUUCUAUUUUGGAAUGUUAUAACUUGAGCUUAAAGAACUUGAUUAAUUCACUGUUAAUCUGGUUUUCUCUGUAGAAUGACUUGGAUGGAACCACCGUAGUGUUUCGGUCUAUUAAUAUGAUAAAAACUCGUACAUAAUAUUAUAUUAUUAUAUCGAAACGCUAAUAACAUAGCAAUGUAGGUUCGUAGCUCUCCCUUGUCGGUGGCUAUGUAAAGUGUGUUUGCAGGUGCACGUGAUUGUGUACUGCAUUAUUGAGUUACGUUUUGACUGCAUUCGUACCUAAAGAUACAGUAGGAAUAAACUAUCAACGUCAAGUGCCACAUGCAUGUCGAUGCAUGCAUGCAUGCAACACAUAUGUCAACAACUUUCUUAGGUCCUGCUGAAUCACAUGCACCAAAUCCAAAGGGGAAUCGGAAUAAUAUUCUUUCGAUGUUUCAAUUAUUUGAUCAAUUUAUCCCAAACAAACAUGUUAGCGAUCAUAUGAUCGAGAUCGACCACCAUAUCGACAAUUUAGAGAGAGAAAAAGAAUUUUAAAAAAAUUAAUGAAAAAAGCUUGAAAAUUUUUAGUUUUAACGAUAAAGACAAAAUAAAAUGUAAAGUGAAUAGCACUAAAAUUGAUUUUUUAAUGUAAAAAUAUGAUUUUUCUUUUAAAUAAAUAGUACUAGAAACUUUCCAUUAAAAUUUCUAUAAAAAAAAAUGAUAUGUCCUCACCUAACUUUCAAUGGUGUUACUAAAACAUUUCAAGUUCCAAUUCAAUUACUUCUGAUGAGCAAUGUUUGUCUCACAUGCUGCCAUGCAAUACCAAACUCUCUACCGAAAGCAAUCUUCUUUGCGAAGAUUCUAAAUAUCUUCAUAUCGUAUAUGUUCAUCGUAUAUUGUGUGAUCAAUUUUUAUCAGAUACGGUUUAUAUUUAAUUUAAAAUAAAAAAUUUAAAAAAAUUUAUAUACAAUAAAUGUACGACAUGAGUACAGAGAGAAUUUGGAAUGAAAAGAAUCAUCGUUCUACAAAAAGCACUUAAUGUCACUCCUACAGUCUCAAAUAAUCUUUUUAUAUAACGGAGUGAAUGUGGGGUAUUAUCUGUCGUUGAACCCAAUAACAAAUAAAUCCCCUCGUUGAAAUUUUGUUUGACUCUUAUAUUAGUUUAAGACAAAUGAAAGAAAAAGACCUUUAAUAAUUGACACAAACCAAAACCAAUGCUAAUAAAUUUAUGGAUAAAUUUAUCGAGCCCACCAAAAUUUUCCUAUUAUUUAUCUCAUUCAUCCCUACCAUAUAUGUAUGUAUGUAGUCAAAUAUAUGAAUGAAUAAGGUAUUGAGUUUUUACCUAUAUGUCUUGAGUUCGAAACACCUUCCACCCUUAAAUUAUUGUAAUAGUUUCAAACUUUCUCCCUUAUCUUAAUAAUAAUAUUUGUAUUAAAGAAAAAAAAACCAAAAAAAAAAAAAAACCACAAUCCCUACUAUAUCUUCUCAUGUUUUUAUCAAAAUUUCAAAAACAUGCUUGAAUAUUAUGGGUUGCAUACGAACCAACAUUUGGGCUACCCACGUCAAACAGGCCCAUAUUUAUCCCCAUCGUUUUGCCCAAAUUUUCACGAAAGCCCUUGCUCCGGAGCAAACAAAGUGAGACCUUUGGUUACUUCUUGAGGAAGAAGACGACGAAGAACUGAAGAAGAAAGAGGGAGCUGAGCCGAAUAGGCGGCAAAGCUAUAAAAUUUCUUUGACUAUCUGCACGAACGGAGCGUGAGCGAAUCUGGGUAAGAUUCGCAUUCGCCAACGAUCGUUGAUAAGACCUAAUUCUCAAUUUUCUUAAUCAACCUGCAAGUAGCACAAAAAAGCUAUGGAAGUAGAGGGAAGGAGAGAUGAAGGAGCAGAGCUCCAAAUAUUUUUGUAUUUAAUUUCUUUGUUGUAAAUUAUGAUCUCCCUUUUACAUCCAAAACAUGAGCUUAUAUAAGUUUCCACUAAAACAAAUUGCCAGCUGGCAAUAACUAAUCACUCCCUAAUACUCAUAUUAGUCUGCUAUUACAUCACUAAUUGUGAUUGAAAUAUAGGAUCAUAACAAUACUUCCCCCUUGAAGAACAACCUUGUCCUCAAGGUUGAAAAUUGAAAAACUUAUUUGAACGAGCAGAAACUAAGGAGUCUUGCAACAGAAGGGAAGCUGCAGGGAAUACAAAUACAAUCUGCAGGUAGCUCACAACUUGAGGAGAUGAGCCUGACAGCACCCCUAAGCUGGUUAUGGCAGCUCCCCAUAACUUGGUAAGUGAGCACUUGUUACCUGUAGCCUUUUCAUAAAUUUCGACCCACGAUAUCAUUUCAAUUUCCAUGCUAGUUGCCAAAAAGCAUGCAACAACAUCAAAUGGAGAAAAUGGGCAAACUCCCAGGGAACCUGACAGAAGAUUCUCAACCAAUGCAUCUACUAUAGCAAUUGGACCAUUGCCAAGAAUUAUAGCCUUAGAGAUGGUUCUGAGCUUGAUAUCCUCGAGAGCAAGACGAGAGGUCUGAUUGAGAAGAGACUGUCGAAGAUUAACUAUCCUCUUCUUAGGUCCAACACACCAUUCAAUGUAGCCAUCCUUCACCACACCACAGUGAGGGAAGCCACCCAUGGGAGUGAUGUCUUUCUCAGUCAUCUUCCCCUCGAGGAAGCAUAUCUCAUAGCCUUUUUCAGUGAUACCGGGACCACCUAAUGUCUGAUUGUCAAAAAACUCCAUUUUCUGAAAUAAGCUAAUGGAUGAGACCAGCCUAUAUAAGAUAUUGAAAACUGCCAUUCUUUCUGAAUCAUUGAAAUCAUUGAACUUUAAACCUUCAUAAGCAACACCGAUAUUAUGCAUGGAAGAUUUAGAGGGCCUGAGCAAACCUAAAGCUUCAACCAUGUCCUUCAUCACCUCUGUUAAGGUGUAUAGUUGGCAUUUGAAUACAUAAGGUGGCUGAGUAGUAUCAAGUUCCAAAAAUUUAAACAGCUCAUUUUGCCAACUUACACUCAUGGUAAGACAAAUAUACAAAGACCAUGCAAAGACAAAUGUGAUGUACAUACUUCCUGAAGAACACGCAAAGAAAUAACACCAGCAACAACCAAAUGAAAUUACACCAGAAGCAACCAAUACAUUGAUGUGUGCCAUAUUGUCUAACAAAAUUACUUUCAGCUUAUGACAGACUUUGUAGAUACCUUCAUAAUCGUACAACCAUGCAUAUACACUAGCACCAUCAACUCUUAGAUUUGGCCUGAAUACUAUUACCUCUUCACUACCAAAAGUGAGCAUCCGAAUACGUCUGCCAAUUUUCUUAUGAUGCAACUCCAGCUCUACCAAAAUCCAUUUUUUACCAAUCACAUAAGAGAAAACACGAUGACUUACACAAUGUUGCUCAGGUACAGUCACAUAUGGUGUUGUCCGAGAUUUCCAUUGCUCCUUGAAAUGCAUUCUGUUUGUACUAUACUUAGGGCCUCCGUAUUUAGAUCUUGUAUAAAUACUCGGAUGACUUAAAUGUAAUUAUGUAAUAAAGGAAUGGGCAAAUAUGUAAUAAGUAAGGAGUCCUUAUUCUAUAAAAGGACCCCUCACCCUCACAAUUAAGGAGGCCAAUUCCUAAGCCUCCUUACAUCCCCUAAGCUCUAAGCUAUCUCAAAGCUCUCACUCUCAUAUUCAGAGCUCUCUCUCCCUCAUAAAUACAAUAUCAGUGUGGACGUAGCCCAAAUCUUAGGGUGAACCACGAUACAUCUUGUGUUAUUUAUAUUUCUUGUAGAUUCACGGUCGGAUUUACGUUGUUCCAAGACCUCCGGUUUUGUGCAUCAACAUUUGGCGCCGUCUGUGGGAAUCGAUACAAAACUAUGUCAGUUCUCUUUCAUUUUUUCACCUCCACCAUGGAUCUGCAAAAUUUACAAAAACCCAACAACCCAAAGCUUUCCCGGAAAAACCCAAGAAACCAGUCCCAUAUCUCUAUCUCUCUUACUCUCCGCAACUUCCACAGCACGCAUUCCAAACCAUCUCUACUCUCUCUCCAUGCCCGUUGCUUCCUCCACACGUACAUCUUGUCAUCUAUAAACCAUAGCUUUUCUGCAUUUUAAUUCACAACUCCGACGUCGAUUUCUUCUCCAGAAAUCUAGAUUCUUCGAUAAUAUGGCAGCCAAAAGGAGUGUGUGCGUGUGCUUCGCCGUAAUUUUCAUCUCGUCGGUUCUGGUUUUUUGCGCUGAAGCAUUUACAUUCCUAGAUUCAGGUGGAUUACUUCAAACCCUAUUCCUAGCAAACGGUCUCUUAGCUGACCAUCCUCACUCGGCCGGACCGCCACCGCCAGAUUCCUCAAAAACUCAAUUCCAAAUCCUCCGAAUCGCAGAUCUAAACCCACCGUCAAUCCGAAUCUCCCAUGCGCUGCAAUGGCGAAACUGAAACAAUAGCGACUGAAAGCAUAAAAGUCUCCAAGCGCAGCUGAACAGCUUGUGUGGAGCUCCAAUGGCGGCAGACGAUGAACUCCCUGAAAGCCUGUGGCGUGGCAGUAAGGAGGUGGUUAUGGUUUUUAAGAGGCUGGAAAAAGAGUACGAGGGCAUGCAAGGAGGUCGAUAUAGCAGGACUAAAGCUAGAUGAAGAAACAAAGUCUCAAAUGUUGUUGCAAUUAGAGGAAGAAAAAACGCUGCUCCUAGUGCCACAGCGUCCCUGCACAAUUGAAAAUUGACGGAUAUGUAAGUUUCAAUUCUUACAGGUAACUGGAAUAUGAAUUCAUUACUAAUAGCGCUUACCAGUGGCGUGUCAACUUCAACAAAUAUGGAGCUUAGAUUGAACUCCCAGUCAAGUUCACAUAUAUGAGAUAUGAAACUUAGCAGUUCAGGCAUGGAAGCUGAUCUGUCCAUCAAGAAAAAUAGUGUUUCAUGCAAAAGGCUUGGGGGUAUCUUAGACAACAGAAAGGAAGGCUCUACAUCAUUAGGAGAUGUGUAAUCAUGCUUCUCUGCUGGCAUGACUAAUUUUCCACCCAUCAAGUCUUCAACAUUUGUAGUUUGUUCAGAAUGUGAAAAUAUCAAAGCAGCAUAAAUUUGAAGAUGCAGAAGAUGAUCACCGUGAUCAGAUUAAGUAGAUCACAACCUCCAGGUUUGAUAUUCACAGUCAAACUUUGGCCGGAAAGCUACCGGAGUCCGAUUCAAGCAGGCUACAAGUGUUCACAUUUCUUAUGAGAACAAUAACAUGGAUAAGCAGCAGGAGGAACCCACUUUGAAAACUGGCAGCACACAAACAGACAGAGACAGAGACGCAGUGGAAAGCAAAAGGGCAAAGAGAAAAAGAAAAAGAAAAAGGAUGAGUGAUGGGCACGACCAGGCUGUUCAAGAAAAGCAAGUGGUUUGCAAACAAAAGAUACCUUACAAAGCAACAUAGGUGGACAGAGAAAGAGCGGGGAGGAAAGCAAAAGCAAGGAAUAAACAUCCCACCAGAAUGACGUGAUUUACUUUUCUUGUUUUUUUUAAUGAUGUAAUUUAUUUUUCUUAUCUUUCGGAGACAUCUGUAUAAACUUCAUCAGAGAGUAAUAAAAAAAAACGGCAAGCCCAAAAUAAUGGGCUGCAAUGUUAUGUGGAGGGCGAAGGCCCAUAUGCCCAAAAGAGCCAGGCCCUAUGGCUCCAAAUUUAUUUGGCACCCUGCCGCUAUUAUCACCAACCAGGUGAUCAAAAAUAUGCCCAGUACUCCAAAAUUAUUAAGCAACCUGCCGCUAUUAUCACCAACCAGGUGAUCAAAAGUACAUCCAGUACUCCAAAACUAUACAUGAGUAUUACUCAUGUCAAUCAUACAUAAACAUUUCAUGAGCAUCACUCAUGUCAAUCAUACAUAAACAUUCAUGACCAUCAUUCAUGUCAACAUUCAUGAGCAUCACUCAUGUCAACAUCCAUGAGCAUCACUCAUGUCAUUCAACAUAAACAUUCAUGAGCAUCACUUAUGUCAAUCAGCUUCAAAAGCUUCAUUACAGAGCGCUAGCUUCAAAAGCUUCAUUUACAAAAGCUCUAGCUUCAAAAGCUUCAUUUACAGAGCUCCCGCUUCAAAGCUUCACUUGCAAAGCUUCACCUACAAAGCUUUAGUGCAGGGUAUACAAAUACCACUUCCGAACAACCGCCACUUUGGCCCAUACAUGGAUUCAAUUUGAAGUCUCCAGCCAACAGACUCUAUUGACCGAAGACUUGAGGGACUACACUAUACACCAUAUAUUGGGCCUCAACUGGGCCUCAUAAAAAAAAUACUUGGGGGACUUAGCCCACACUUAUGUAUUGAGGAGCGAGCCCUUAUUUUAUAAAAAGGACUCCCUUACUUUCAUUAGAGAGCACUCAUUCUUCAUGUACUGAGGAUCGAGCCCUUAUUUUAUAAAAUGGACUCCCUCACUAUCAUUAGAGAGCAUCGCCGCCUACUGAGCAACCGCCUUGCCGCGAGCAUCAACUCUAGCCCAUCAUUUAUGUAUUGAGGAGCGAGCCCUUAUUCUAUAAAAGGGACUCCCUCACCUUCAACACCACA
rnacentral:lncRNA from 1 species